rnacentral:lncRNA from 1 species
GGAACACUUCAAGAGCAGAUCACAGGGCUUGAAGAAUGCAAGGCUAAAGGUAAAUGACAUCUCCGGAGAUGACCAAAUUUUAUGGAUGCCAAUGGAAUCACCAUGCCAUGGCAACUGAUUUAAAGAUAAGCAUCAUAUACAAGUCGUGUUUUCCACAGAGCGAUAUGUACUUCCUCACUUCCGGUAGUACCUUUGACAACAUGACAGUCUUCAGAUGAAGCUAUGUCUGGGGUGAGCAGCUGGUGAGGUAGAGCAGGGUGAGCCC